rnacentral:rRNA from 1 species
GCCUUACACAUGCAAGUCGAACGGCAGCACGGGAGCAAUCCUGGUGGCGAGUGGCGAACGGGUGAGUAAUACAUCGGAACGUGCCCAAUCGUGGGGGAUAACGCAGCGAAAGCUGUGCUAAUACCGCAUAAGAUCUACGGAUGAAAGCAGGGGACCGCAAGGCCUUGCGCGAAUGGAGCGGCCGAUGGCAGAUUAGGUAGUUGGUGAGGUAAAGGCUCACCAAGCCUUCGAUCUGUAGCUGGUCUGAGAGGACGACCUGCCACACUGGGACUGAGACACGGCCCAGACUCCUACGGGAGGCAGCAGUGGGGAAUUUUGGACAAUGGGCGAAAGCCUGAUCCAGCCAUGCCGCGUGCAGGAUGAAGGCCUUCGGGUUGUAAACUGCUUUUGUACGGAACGAAAAGGUCUUUUCUAAUAAAGAGGGCCCAUGACGGUACCGUAAGAAUAAGCACCGGCUAACUACGUGCCAGCAGCCGCGGUAAUACGUAGGGUGCAAGCGUUAAUCGGAAUUACUGGGCGUAAAGCGUGCGCAGGCGGUUAUAUAAGACAGUUGUGAAAUCCCCGGGCUCAACCUGGGAACUGCAUCUGUGACUGUAUAGCUAGAGUACGGUAGAGGGGGAUGGAAUUCCGCGUGUAGCAGUGAAAUGCGUAGAUAUGCGGAGGAACACCGAUGGCGAAGGCAAUCCCCUGGACCUGUACU